rnacentral:rRNA from 1 species
GUGGGGAAUCUUGCGCAAUGGACGAAAGUCUGACGCAGCGACGCCGCGUGAGUGAUGAAGGCCUUCGGGUUGUAAAGCUCUGUGGAGAGGGACGAAUAAGUGUCGUCGAAUAGACGGCAUGAUGACGGUACCUUUUUAGCAAGCACCGGCUAACUCUGUGCCAGCAGCCGCGGUAAGACAGAGGGUGCAAACGUUGUUCGGAAUUACUGGGCGUAAAGCGCGUGUAGGCUGCUUGGAAAGUCGGAUGUGAAAGCCCUGGGCUCAACCUAGGAAGUGCAUUCGAAACUUCCAAGCUCGAGUUUCGGAGAGGAAGGCGGAAUUCUCGGUGUAGAGGUGAAAUUCGUAGAUAUCGAGAGGAACACCGGUGGCGAAGGCGGCCUUCUGGACGAUGACUGACGCUGAGACGCGAAAGCGUGGGGAGCAAACAGGAUUAGAUACCCUAGUAGUCC